AAAGGAAGUACUUAGGACCCAAAGGUUUAACCAGGCUGGUGACACUGAAAUUUACCUAUGCCCUGUGGUUCUGAAAAGUAGCUUUCCAGAAUUCCUCACCCUUUUUGUGUUCUGGGAAAGGGUUUACUGCAAAGAAUCCCCUUCCCAGGUGACACAUGAGACUCAAAAUUCACUCUUUCUCCUAACUCACAUAAGACUCACAAAUGUUUCUGUAUAACAAAGCCAGACCCUGAAAAACUGUCUUUGUUUCAUAAAUAAUUAGCUGAACUGUUUAUCCUCCCAAAACUAGCUUGACACAGAGAUAAACAUUUCUUGUUCAUCUUGUCAGAGGCAUUCGAACCAGAGCAACUUGAAUACUGGCUGGAUAAAAUAAGGCUGAGACCUACUGAAGCAGGACAUUUCACUGACCCCUUUGUGGAACUCGCAACAGGGGUGCCCCGUUUACUCAGCCCACAGCUCUCAACUCCUCAUAGGAGGGAGUGAGCAAGCCAACAAGGCGGGAACUGGAAUACACGAGUGCUAGAAUCAGCUGGCUACUUCAUAGCUGGCAAGAGCAAACUCCACUCACUCAGACCCGCUGCUUUCCACCCCUCGUCGGACAGGGCACACAGGUAACCAAAGAAUCUGACCCAUAGGGUUUCUAACUCACAAAAGGAGGGUCCAACUAUGUGGAAGCUGUCACCUUUGAUGGAAUUUAUCUGAUACCAUAUAACAUAGUGGAAGGAGAGUCAAAGAAUUUGUGGCUAUUUUAAGUCACACAUCAUUUCUUUUUCCAUGCCCCACCCCUGGAACCUUCUCAAGGUGUUUGACUUCAACCAGAGUUGAAGAUCCCCCAUCUGCAAUACUGCUGCACCCCCACCUCAAGCCCCAGCUGAUUGAACCCCAGGUGGAUUCCUGAUUCAGGCAAUCCACAGGCUGGGCUGAAGCAAUCAUGAUGUCUCUCUAAGGAAUAUUAAUUAAAAGCCACAGAGACCCCAGUCAGUUUUAAGGAGGUGUGCCGCCAGAAACCAGGGUCAGCACCAUACCAAACCAAAGUUAUGGAGGAGUAAAAACCAAAAGUCUUGCAGAAGCAGCAGAUUUGGAGACAAAAAAAGCAGAACCCACAUGCAGAAAGAAAAGAGAGGCACCACGUGACCCUUGAGACAAAGUGACAGACAUUCCAGUGCUGCCAGACAGAUUUCCAGUAUCUGUGAGGUCCUGCUGUGCACCAGAGAAGAGAGUUCUGGGAAAACCCCUGCUAUGGGUUGAACUGUAUUCCCCAAACAUUCAUAUGUUGGAGCCUUAACCUCCAGGACCUUAGAAUGGGACCUUACUUGGAAAUAGAGUCAUUGCAGAUGUAAUUAGUUAAGCUGAGUUCCUACUGGAGUAGGGUGGGCCCCUAAUCCAAUAUAUUGUUGUCCUUAUAAAAAGGGGAAGUCUGGAGAAUAGUUAUCCUUCCAAGAUAAACUAUUUGCCAAAUAUGUAACAGAGUAACCAGCCAUUUCCAUAUGGGAUUUCUAGUCAUUUCCCAGUUAAAAAUUAAGGAAUAGGUACACGCAGUAAGAGCACUCAGUGAAGAUGAGGGCAGAGAUCAAGAUGCCACAUCUACAAACCAAGGAACACCAAAGAUUGCCAGAAACUAUCAGAAGCUAGGGGAAAGGCAUGGAACAGUUACUUCUUCACAGCCGUCAGAAGGAACCAACCCUGUUGACACCCGGACCUCAGACGUGAAGCCUCCAGAACCGUGAGAUACAAAAUUCCUGUUGUUUAAGCCACUCAGUUUGUGGUACUUUGUUAUGGCAGCUCUGGAAAAUGAAUAUGACCCCUAUAACUGCAUUUCCAUGUGAGCUCAUUUAAGUGGGUGUCUGUUCCUUGAAGAAGAAAAAUGAUAUGAAUCAAAACAUCCCACCUAAACUGCCUUUGCUCUGAGCAGAGGGAACACCCUCUGGCAGAGCCAGGGUUCUUCUCAGAAAAUUAUUCCCAGUCUCCUCCAGGACUAAGAUAAAUGAAUGAGCAAAGUUUAAAAGUUCUCUUCUAAAGAACAUGGUCAAAAUAGUUUUAGCCUGUAAAAUUUGAAGGCAGAUAAAACCAGAAUUCAGCCUUGGCAGAAUAAACUCUCAAUAAAGUAACCUCAGAUCCUUAGCUCCGAACACCACUUUUUUUUUUCCUGUAUUCCUUCCAAGAUAAACUAUUAGCCAGAUAUGUAACAGAGUAACCAGUCAUUUUUAUAUGGGAUUGUUAUUCAUUGCCCAGUUGAAAAUUAAAGAAUCAGUACAAAAAAAAAAAAAACAAAACACUUUUGUUCUAGGAAAGAGAAUCAGAUAUCCUUUUUUAGCAAUAAUUAACUAGCAAGGUCGUGCUGUCACCACGGUUUUUAAAAUACCCUUUUGUCUUUCAUGGCAAGUGUAUGCAUCUAGACCAUCUGAAAGUGGCUCUAGAACAUGAAAAUAUAAAUGUAAAACAAGAAAGGGGCAGGAAAAGAAUGAGGAGCAGGCAAAACAUAACCACGUGUUGGCUAUUUCUAACUCCCUGGUCCAGGAGUACUCAUUAAUCACUCUAAUCCCACAGAAGUAUAAUGAUUCUGAAUAUCUACAUAUGCCACAAAUUAUCUAAUACUGUUCCUGAUUUACUAGGUGUGGAGUGGCCAUAUAUAAAACCUGACUGUUACUCACAUAAAAUAUUGGCCUGAAACUCUCAGACUUCGAAGCAAGUAGCAGAUUUGGAUGGAAUACACCACAAAUUAAUAAAGCCAUAAUCUAGAGAAGGUAAUAAAUUGACUUUUUAAAUAUGAGAUACUCUAAACUCUGGCUUCAGUGGGGAAGAGUUUUUUUUUUUUACUUCAAGUUAUGCUGAUUUAAUUACAAAAUAAGCUUUUCCAAGGCACUGGCCUUUGUAAUGAAGGUAAAUAUUACAUGUUUGCUAAAAAACAGGGUUUUAUAAAACUCCUCACCUCAUAUAAACAAUUGUAAGUCUUUUGUUUUUUCCAGAAAAAAAAAAACUUUCACUAAGUAUUAGUCACUCAUAUAUCUAUAAAUCUCAGAGGAAUUUCCCCAAGCACUCUGGCUUCCCAAGUAGGAGAUUGUUUCUCCUAGUUCAAGUCUCAUUUCACUGUUAGGCUGGCUGUUAUUUCAUGGUGACUUGCCAUGUUAAUAGUAUGUCUUCUAAUCCACGAAUGUGAUAUAGCUCUCCAACUUAUUUGAGUCCUCUUCAGUUUUACUCAACAGUGUUUUGUAGUUUUCUGUGUAUAGGUUUUGGAAAUCCAUAAUUAAAUUUAUCCUUGGGUAUUCUAUGGUUCUUUGUUAUUAUGAAUUGUAUUUUUUAUCUCAUUUCCCAAUUGUUUUGCUGGUAUACAGAAAUAUAAUUUAUUUACCUAUAUGGACCUGGAAAAUUACAGCUUUGUUAAUUAAAUUCAACUAGUUAUAUUAGUUGUUUUGCAGAUUCCUUAGGAUUUCUACAUUUUAAAAAUAAAGUCAUCUAAGAAUAAAUAAUUUUUAUUCUUUCCAACUUUGAAUGCUUAAUUUCCUUUUUGUAUUGUAUUGCCCUGGUUAAGCCUUUCAGUACAAUGUGGAAUAGAAGUAGUUAGCACCGAGAUCCUUUCCUUGUUCUUCAUCUUAGAUGAACAGCAUUCAGUCUUUUGCAAUUCAAUAGGAUGUUAGCGCGUAGGAUUUCUACGAGUAGCCCACUGAUCUUUUUAGAAUAAUGAGAUCCGGUCACUCCUUUGCCCAGUUCUCCAGUGGUUUCCCAAAUCAUUUAAAAUAAUUUCAUAAAUCCUUAAAGUGACCUACAUAAUCUGGUUUUCUAUAAUCUCUCUGAAUUCAGAUUCUCCCCUCCUCCCCAUCGCCAGUCACCACAUUGGGUGUUUUGCAUGGGGCACUACACACAGGCCCCAUCUCAGUACUUUGGCCCUUCUUGUUCCCGCUCCCUGAAGUGCUUCUUUUACCCUAGACAGCCA
rnacentral:lncRNA from 1 species